rnacentral:rRNA from 1 species
AUUGAACGCUGGCGGCAUGCUUUACACAUGCAAGUCGAACGGUAACAGGCCUUCGGGUGCUGCCGAGUGGCGAACGGGUGAGUAAUGCAUCGGAACGUACCCAGAGGUGGGGGAUAACGCAGCGAAAGCUGUGCUAAUACCGCAUGUGAUCUGAGGUUGAAAGCGGGGGACCGAGCAGCAAUGUUUGGCCUCGCGCCUUUGGAGCGGCCGAUGUCGGAUUAGCUAGUUGGUGGGGUAAAGGCCUACCAAGGCGACGAUCCGUAGCUGGUCUGAGAGGACGGCCAGCCACACUGGGACUGAGACACGGCCCAGACUCCUACGGGGGGCAGCAGUGGGGAAUGUUGGACAAUGGGCGCAAGCCUGAUCCAGCAAUGCCGCGUGCGGGAAGAAGGCCUUCGGGUUGUAAACCGCUUUUGGCAGGAACGAAACGGUGUCCGCUAAUACCGGGCGCUAAUGACGGUACCUGCAGAAUAAGCACCGGCUAACUACGUG